UAUUUUAAGUUUUUAAUUUACAUUGGCUUCAUGGCUUGUUGCUGAACAAGGGGAAUUUUUAAAAUGGUUUAGGACGGGUUUUUGUGCUAAGCCCAACCUAGCUGCGCUAAGCGCCUCCGCGGUAAGCCUAGGAUUUUGGGGCUAUGCGCAUAUGGCAAUACACAACGUGCCUGUAUUAAUUUCCAUUUAAUCCUUUUUGAACCAGUUUCCAACUUCCUCUAACCACAUUAGUUGGCACACGUUCAGGUCCAAAAAAUAUCAUUCUAUCAUCAAAUCCUAACCUAACUCUCAUUUCUCACUUUACACAAACCCUAGCCUCCACUUUCACUUUUCAUUUUCAUAAAAACAUUAUCACCCACAAGGCUACACCUAUCAUUCAUCUGCAUCUAGAAUCCAUAGCUUCAACACAGAUAUGGCUCCAAAAAAAUAAAUCAUGUCCAAGAAGCAAAAGGGUGCAGCUAGUACAUCUAAGGGGCCAAACCCCAUUGAUGAAAAUAGAUUUUUUGGAGUGGACCAAGAUGAGAGAUUUAUAGAGAUAUCCAGCAAAAGAAUCUGGGCAGAAAGAAGGUUUGUCAUUUAUCUAGAAGGAAUAUUUUGAAAUUAUGCAGAGAUCAUAUCCGGAAGAGGGUGAGAAACUUUGGUGAAUCCUCCAACUAGGCUCAAAUACGAGAUCAUUAGGGAGUUCUAUGAUAAUGCUCUCCCCAUAGAAGGCCUGAAAUACCCUUUCACCACCAUGGUUCAAGGAAGAAUCAUCUCCUUUGAUAGGAAUGCCAUCAAUGAGUAUUUGGGCAGCCCUCUAAAUCUAGAAGAAGGAGAAACUGAUUCUUAUUCAAGGCAUGUGGCACAAGGUAAUUGGAAUAUUCAAAGGAUUUCUUGAUCCAUUAUACCGUAAGGAAGGACCUAUCAAACAAAUGCUUAUGGAGUACCUGUCAAAUUGAAAAAAGAAGACAUGACAACUCGAGCACAAGUGACCCUGACUCUUAUGUUAUACAAAAUUAGGGCUCACAAUCAUACAUCUUCUAUUCCCAUGGAGAAAUCACACCUUUUAUAUUAUUUUGUUGAGGUAAGAGAGGUGGAUGUGGCUCAAAUUAUUUUGAAUGAAAUCAGAACGAUUGUUGAAAAUGGUAGCAAGCUAGGCGAAAAAUCUAAUUUCCCGUUAGCUUUGUUAGGGUUGAUCAUGGGAUUGUGUCAAAGGGCUCGAAUGUGUAUUCCUAGUCAGGCUCAUGAAAUAAUUAUUGGUGUUAUGGAUGAUAGGUACAUUUCAAGAUACUGCAGGCAAAAACCAGCCAUCACCCUUGAUGAAGAGUGAGAAGAAACCACAUCCCCUUCAGGAUCACAAAUUGGGAUUGAGGACUGGGUGAGAACAACUCUCACUCACAACUGGGACUAAAAUGUGUCCAAUCAUAGGACCACUUCUUAUGUACAAGAAUAUUUGUAUCACCUCCAGUUGCAAAGUGGUGGACCAUAUGUCGGUGUAAACCAGAUCAUGAACCCAAAGGCGUUCAAAUCUCACAUUUCAUGGCUUGGGGACAGAACAAUUUUCUCAGAAGGAGUAGCUACUGCAGGACACCAAGAAGAAGGAGAUGAAGAUGAAGCUGAACAUCAGGAAGAAUCUGAAGGUGCAAAAGAAGAUGAUAAAGAAGAGAAGGAGGAAGGAUAAGAAGACAUGGAUGAUGAUUAAGAGUUGAUUGACUGGAAAAGCUCACCAUAACAGAGUGAAAUAUGUAAAAAGCUUUCAGUCAUUUAGUUUACUAUGUUUUAUUCCUUUCCUUUGUAUUCAAAAUUGUGGAUUUGUGUUGAAUGUUUUUUGUAUGUUUUAUUUUGCUUGGAUUUAUGCUGAAACAUGGAAUUUUGUUGAAACCACAACUUGGGAAUGGUGGUUAAAUGUUAAGUCGUUGUCUAAAUUAUUUCAAAGUAGUAAGUAAUAGUAGUUAAUUUCA